ACGAACGCUGGCGGCGUGCCUAACACAUGCAAGUCAACUUGACUGAAGGAGCAAUCUGACAGUAGAGUGGCGCAAGGGUGCGUAACGCGUAAGUAACUUGCCCAAGGUAAGGAAUAACGUCGAGAAAUCGGCGCUAAUACCUCAUAAUGCAGCGGAUCCGCAUGGAUAUGUUGUUAAAGGUUUACCGCCUUGGGAUAGGCUUGCGUCUGAUUAGUUAGUUGGUGUGGUAACGGCACACCAAGGCUACGAUCAGUAACUGGUCUGAGAGGAUGAUCAGUCACACUGGAACUGAGACACGGUCCAGACUCCUACGGGAGGCAGCAGUGAGGAAUAUUGGGCAAUGCUCGAAAGAGUGACCCAGCAACGCCGCGUGGAGGAUGAAGGUAUUCUAUAUCGUAAACUCCUGUGAGAGCAGACGAAAGACAGAUUAUUAAUCUGGAUGACUGUAUGCUCAGAGGAAGCCCCGGCUAACUACGUG
rnacentral:rRNA from 1 species